ACAGUGGACGCGAGCAUCUUUGUGGUCAAGUUAUUAAGAGCACAUGGUGGAUGCCUAGGCACCAAGAGCCGAAGAAGGUCGUAGGAGGCUGCGAAAAGCCUCGGGGAGCUGCCAACCGAGCUGAGAUCCGAGGAUUACCGAAUGGGGAAACCCGGCAGGAGUCAUGUCCUGUCACCCACACCUGAACACAUAGGGUGUGCGGAGGGAACGUGGGGAAGUGAAACAUCUCAGUACCCACAGGAAGAGAAAGCAAACGCGAUUCCGUUAGUAGUGGCGAGCGAAAGCGGAAGAGGCUAAACCGAGCGCGCGUGAUAGCCGGCAGGCGUUGCGCGUUCGGGGUCGUGGGAUCAAUCUGACUGUUCUGCCGAACAGUCAGGGAGUAAGAAAGACUCGUGUUAGUCGAAGGACAUUGGAAAAAUCCGGCACAGAGGGUGACACCCCCGUAGACGAAAACACGAAUCCUCCCGAUUGAUAUCCCAAGUAGCAGCGAGCCCGUGAAAUUCGCUGUGAAUCCGGCGGGACCACCCGCUAAGCCUAAAUACUACUUGGUGACCGAUAGCGGACAAGUACCGUGAGGGAAAGGUGAAAAGUACCCCGGGAGGGGAGUGAAAUAGUACCUGAAACCAUGUGCUUACAAGCCGUCGGAGCGAUCCUUGUGAUUGUGACGGCGUGCCUUUUGAAGAAUGAGCCUGCGAGUUAGUGGUAUGUGGCAAGGUUAACCCGUGUGGGGAAGCCGUAGCGAAAGCGAGUCCGAAUAGGGCGAUUCAGUCGCAUGCUCUAGACCCGAAGCGAAGUGAUCUACCCAUGGCCAGGAUGAAGCGACGGUAAGACGUCGUGGAGGUCCGAACCCACUUCAGUUGAAAAUGGAGGGGAUGAGCUGUGGGUAGGGGUGAAAGGCCAAUCAAACUUCGUGAUAGCUGGUUCUCCCCGAAAUGCAUUUAGGUGCAGCGUCGCGUGUUUCUUACCGGAGGUAGAGCACUGGAUGGUCUAGGGGGCCCACAAGCUUACCGAAAUCAACCAAACUCCGAAUGCCAGUAAGUGAGAGCGCGGCAGUGAGACUGUGGGGGCUAAGCUUCAUAGUCGAAAGGGAAACAGCCCAGAUCACCGGUUAAGGCCCCUAAGCGUGUGCUAAGUGGAAAAGGAUGUGGAGUCGCACAGACAGCCAGGAGGUUGGCUUAGAAGCAGCCACCCUUUAAAGAGUGCGUAAUAGCUCACUGGUCAAGUGGUUCCGCGCCGACAAUGUAGCGGGGCUCAAGCACACCGCCGAAACCGUGACAUUCGUGCAUGUGAUCGGCCGCUUAUGCGGUCCAGUCGCACGGAUGGGUAGGGGAGCGUCGUGUGGCGAGCGAAGCGGCGGGGUAACCCAGCCGUGGACGCCACACGAGUGAGAAUGCAGGCAUGAGUAGCGAAUGAGGAGUGAGAACCUCCUCCACCGAAUGACCAAGGGUUCCUGGGCCAGGUUAAUCCGCCCAGGGUGAGUCGGGACCUAAGGCGAGGCCGACAGGCGUAGUCGAUGGACAACGGGUUGAUAUUCCCGUACCCGCGAAAGAGCGCCCAUGACGAGCCCGGUAAUGCUAAGCGCCCGAACCAGCAUUCUCCUUCGGGAGAAGCGCUGGGGAGCGCGCGACCCGAGCCGGUAGUAGUCAAGCGAUGGGGUGACGCAGGAAGGUAGCUCCGCCAGUCAGUGGUAAUACUGGUGUAAGGGUGUAGGUAGUUGGAGUAGGCAAAUCCGCUCCAAUGUUGAUCUGAGACCUGACGCAUAGCCGAUUGAGGCGAAGCAGAGUGAUCCUAUGCUGUCGAGAAAAGCCUCUAGCGAGCUCCUAGCGGCCCGUACCCUAAACCGACACAGGUGGUCAGGUAGAGAAUACCAAGGUGAUCGAGCGAACUAUGGUUAAGGAACUCGGCAAAAUACCCCCGUAACUUCGGGAGAAGGGGGGCCGAGGUGUGUGAAGCCCCUCGCGGGCUAGCACGUUUCGGCCGCAGAGACCAGCGAGAAGCGACUGUUUACUAAAAACACAGGUCCAUGCUAAGUCGCAAGACGACGUAUAUGGACUGACGCCUGCCCGGUGCUGGAAGGUUAAGAGGACCGGUUAGUUCCUUCGGGAGCGAAGCUGAGAAUUUAAGCCCCAGUAAACGGCGGUGGUAACUAUAACCAUCCUAAGGUAGCGAAAUUCCUUGUCGGGUAAGUUCCGACCUGCACGAAUGGCGUAACGACUUCUCGACUGUCUCAACCAUAGGCUCGGCGAAAUUGCACUACGAGUAAAGAUGCUCGUUACGCGCGGCAGGACGGAAAGACCCCGGGACCUUUACUAUAGCUUGGUAUUGGUGUUCGGUUCGACUUGUGUAGGAUAGGUGGGAGACUUUGAAGCAUUCACGCCAGUGAGUGUGGAGUCAACGUUGAAAUACCACUCUGGUCGUACUGGAUAUCUAACCUAGGUCCGUAAUCCGGAUCAGGGACAGUGCCUGGUGGGUAGUUUAACUGGGGCGGUUGCCUCCUAAAGAGUAACGGAGGCGCUCAAAGGUUCCCUCAGCCUGGUUGGCAAUCAGGUUUCGAGUGUAAGUGCAAAAGGGAGCUUGACUGCGAGAUCGACGGAUCGAGCAGGGACGAAAGUCGGAACUAGUGAUCCGGCACCACCUUGUGGAAGGGGUGUCGCUCAACGGAUAAAAGGUACCCCGGGGAUAACAGGCUGAUCUUGCCCAAGAGUCCAUAUCGACGGCAUGGUUUGGCACCUCGAUGUCGGCUCGUCGCAUCCUGGGGCCGGAGUAGGUCCCAAGGGUUGGGCUGUUCGCCCAUUAAAGCGGCACGCGAGCUGGGUUUAGAACGUCGUGAGACAGUUCGGUCCCUAUCCGCCGCGCGCGCAGGAGUCUUGAGAAAGGCUGUCCCUAGUACGAGAGGACCGGGACGGACGAACCUCUGGUGUGCCAGUUGUUCCACCAGGAGCACGGCUGGUUAGCUACGUUCGGAAGGGAUAACCGCUGAAAGCAUCUAAGCGGGAAGCUCGUUUCAAGAUGAGGACUCCCAUCCUUAAUGGAGUAAGGCCCCCGGCAAGACCACCGGGUUGAUAGGCCGGAAGUGGAAGCACGGCAACGUGUGCAGCUGACCGGUACUAAUAGGCCGAGGACUUACCACAAAA
rnacentral:rRNA from 1 species